rnacentral:rRNA from 1 species
GAUGAACGCUGGCGGCGUGCCUAAUACAUGCAAGUCGAGCGAACAGACGAGGAGCUUGCUCCUCUGACGUUAGCGGCGGACGGGUGAGUAACACGUGGAUAACCUACCUAUAAGACUGGGAUAACUUCGGGAAACCGGAGCUAAUACCGGAUAAUAUAUUGAACCGCAUGGUUCAAUAGUGAAAGACGGUUUUGCUGUCACUUAUAGAUGGAUCCGCGCCGCAUUAGCUAGUUGGUAAGGUAACGGCUUACCAAGGCAACGAUGCGUAGCCGACCUGAGAGGGUGAUCGGCCACACUGGAAGUGAGACACGGUCCAGACUCCUACGGGAGGCAGCAGUAGGGAAUCUUACGCAAUGGGCGAAAGCCUGACGGAGCAACGCCGCGUGAGUGAUGAAGAUCUUCGGAUCGUAAAACUCUGUUAUUAGGGAAGAACAAAUGUGUAAGUAACUAUGCACGUCUUGACGGUACCUAAUCAGAAAGCCACGGCUAACUACGUG